CUCUCUCUCUCCCCCCGCCCUUCCUCCCUCUGUCUCCCUGUUUCUGUGAUUAUUUUUUUUGGAAAUAAUUCCCCUCACUUUAUGCCUCCAUAAACCUCUGACUCCAGCAGAUGGAACAAGGCUGCUAUUCCGAGUCAGUGGAAUCAAUGGGCCGGCUACAAGUGGGAGCGUCUUAACACUUAGAAGAUUAAGUUACUUCGCCCCAAGAUCAGUUCCACUUUAAAAAAGCACUUUCGACCCAUAUUUAACCAACCGUCAGAGAGGAUUCAAAAGAGGGCUAAUUGAGCACUGAGUGUUUGAAGCAUUCAAAUCAUGGCCCAGGUUUCUUCUUGAAAACACCAACAGCGCAGCCUGGCAGGAAGCAGGGAUUAGACAAGAGAAUCCAUUGAAACUUGCCUUCCAAACUGGAAGAAAAACUUUCAACCUCAACAGAAUCAAGUUAUGGGAAGGCAAGCUGGAAAACCUCACGGGAGAUUUCAUGAAGAAGAGAGAAGCCCGGAUCUCCAGGCUAAAAUACAAACAAGAAAGCAAUACCGAUCUUUGCGUGGAUAAUAGCUAAACCUGAAUAGAAGCUUCCAGGACCCUAAUACACAGCCAAGGAAAGCUAACAGUCAUGAUUCAAUAAAGUUGCCGGUGUAAGGCAUGCGCCAGACAGAAAGGAGACACCAUGUCUGUAAUCUACAGACACUGCUUUAAACAUCACAUAUAAUUAAGUCCUUCCCAUGGUGGUGGCUACUUGAAGCUUUAUCAUUAACUUGUAAGAUUUCAUCUCUGGGUUUCACCAAUGGUUCUGAGAACGAACAUUUUCAAACGAGAGGCACCUGCUAAUCCAGGAGAUGUUCUCACCACACCUAUUCUCGUCCUCUAGUGAAAGAAGCUCUAUGUUAAAUGACUGAAGGAAAACAGAAGGGGACAUGUAACAAAGUGUAUGUAGCAGCGGCCCUGGGUGGCUUCCCAUGCUGAGUGUUCUAUUACAUUAAUCCUGGUGCAAAAAAUAAAAAGAUGCGACAGCCCCUUGGA